UCCUUCAUCUCUCAUUUCCACCAUUUUCCUCCAUUAAAGAAAACCUUCGGAGCUUCCAAAAAUAUUACCAAAUACCUCAAUCCACUCUAAAAUAUUCCAUAAACACAUUCUAGCCACUUAUAAUCAAGAGAAUCCUUGAAGAAGAGCUCCAAAGUUAGAGUGAGAAAGUGUGAACUUUGGUAAGAAUUUGGGCCCGAGCGAGACGAAGAAGUAAGUUGCCUGAUUUUCUUUCCAGGAUUAGCGAAGGACUUCAGGCUAAGCGAGGAGCGAGAUUGGUUUGGUGCUAGUGGGGGAAAUGUUUCAAUCGAUGUAAUUAUAUUUCCGUAUUGCCUUCAUGUUAAUAGAGUCUUGAGGAUUGAGAUACUUUGUUUUCUUUUGAAAUCAAGCAAUUUACUCACGGUUAUGUGUCUUCAUACAUGUAAUCGAUUUGCCUUUUUGCUGCGAUACUCUGCAUAUUAUGCUUCCUUAUGAAAAAUGAGCUAUA